AUUAUCAAUUGCAUAGUAAUGUGCCAGACCAAAGACUUAGUUAACUUGGAAAGAUUGCUGUCUGGCCUGAUGGAUGAAAUUAAGAAUACUGAUUGAUAAAAAAAUUUUCUUUUAAACUAACGGUUAUGCUAAUGGAACUUAAUGAGCAACAUGGAAAUUCCAAUGCCUGUGGGGAGAAGGGGGCUUAAAGAGAAGGAAGAGGUAUGUUAUAAAUUAUAUAGAUAGCAGAUGCAGGAUGCUAGAUAGGACCAAAAGAAUAAUAUAAGUGAGUGGCUACAGGUCUUAAAAUAUUGAUCCUACUUACCAGGGGAUGGGGGAGUCCUUACCUGACCUUAGGGCCAUGGUAAGAACCUUGUUAUAAAAAGGCAUGCUUAGUCCAGACAUUCCUUUUGAAAGAUACUUAAGAGACCUGAGCUAGCACGGAGCCUGUUUGUGGAGGGAGGCAGGUGACAUGUAGCCCAGGCUGGCCUUCCACUCACAGUAGUUGCUCUACCCUUUCACUUCCUUCUGUAUGUCUUGAUUUCAGCCCUUAGCGGUAAAGCCCACAUUCACACACACCCAUUGCUAGACAAGCUUUGUUAGAGGGAGAAAAAUGAUUCCAGAAGUCAAGGCUGUCUUGGUGCCUUGGUAUAUUGCAUGCUGUGUGGCCCUGAGGGCUUGAGUGUCAUCCCUAGAACCCAUUUAAAAAGCCAGGUAUGGCAGUGCCCAUUCCCAGCGCUGGGAAGGUGGAGACAGGCUGAGCCCCAGACCCAUGAGAAAGAUCCUGCCUCAAACCACAGUGAUGGUGCUUGAGGGAUGAUGUCUGAGGUUGACCUUUGACCUCUAAUCACGUGCCUGCCUGCACAGAUGUACACAUAAAUACGCAAGAAACCCUGAGGUGUUGAAUAGUGCGGAAAGCCAAUGGAAAACACAUCGUUACUAAGAAAUUAAUGACAAACAGCCACUAUUAGCCCAGAAUACCCGCCAACAGCCAUUAAUGCUAGUAUUACAAGGCUUAUGUUGCUUAUUUAAACUCUUCCCCGUGUGCGUUUAGGGAGAAUUGCACUGCCUGUAAUAGCUGAAUAUGUACGUGUAGACUUAUUUGUUUUCUUUUGUUUGUCUUUUUGAGACAGGGUCUCACUAAGUAGCCUUAGCUGGCCUGGAACCUUGUAGAUGGAGAUCUACCUGCCUCUGCCUUCAAGUAUUAGGAUUAAAGGUGUAAGCUACCACGUCCCUGCCCAGAGAGUAUGUAGUGUUUUGGGUUUAUUUUGUUCGAUUUGGUUUGGUGGUGGUUUUUUGGUGGGGGCAGAAAGGGGUUUGUUUGUUUGUUUGUUUGUUUGUUUUCUAAUGGAACAAAAGGCUGUACAAAUACUGGGUAACAACAUGUGCCACCAUGUCUAGCUCUGACUACAUAGUUUUUGAUAACCUCACUAAAAUGGAGAGGGGGUAAAAUUGGGACACAUAUUUAAAGUGUCAGAGAGCUGUGAAGCUAGUGGGUCACUAUGUUCUGGGAGACGGCAGGUGUCUGAUGUCCCUUGACAAGGAUGAAUGUGGUCACUCUGGAGGGUACAGCCCACUCACUGUUUUUGAACCCCGAACUGUGGUGCCCUAGGGGUCAAGGAGAAACUCAGACUGCUCUAGUUGGCUGGAAGAGUCACCUUGAAGAUUAUUAUUAUAUUAUACUUUUUUCUUUUAAUCUAAAGUUUGGGACAGAUAGAUGAAAUAGGAAUGACAAAUAUUGCUAACUUAAGUCAGGUUACUAUGAAGGUGACCUCAGAUUGUUAGCUUUCCCCUUACAAGAAAAGAUCUGGUUGUCCUGGUGCGCACCUGUAAUCCCCGCACUCAGGAAAAUCAAGAGCUAGAGGCCAGUUCGGGGUAACUUCUUGAGACCCUUGCUCAAAUAAAUCAGAAAACGGUGUAAACACAGUGUGAAAAUGAUCCAGACCAGUGGUUCCCCCCCCUUCCUAAUGCUGUGACCCUUUAAUACAGUUCCUCAUGGUGUGGUGACCCCCCCCCCACUAUAAAAUUAUUUUGUUUCUACUUC
rnacentral:lncRNA from 1 species